AUGCACGCUGGCGGCGUGCUUAACCCAUGCCAGUCGAACGAUGAAGCCCAGCUUGCUGGGUGGAUUAGUGGCGAACGGGUGAGUAACACGUGAGUAACCUGCCCUUAACUCUGGGAUAAGCCUGGGAAACUGGGUCUAAUACCGGAUAGGAGCGUCCACCGCAUGGUGGGUGUUGGAAAGAUUUAUCGGUUUUGGAUGGACUCGCGGCCUAUCAGCUUGUUGGUGAGGUAAUGGCUCACCAAGGCGACGACGGGUAGCCGGCCUGAGAGGGUGACCGGCCACACUGGGACUGAGACACGGCCCAGACUCCUACGGGAGGCAGCAGUGGGGAAUAUUGCACAAUGGGCGCAAGCCUGAUGCAGCGACGCCGCGUGAGGGAUGACGGCCUUCGGGUUGUAAACCUCUUUCAGUAGGGAAGAAGCGAAAGUGACGGUACCUGCAGAAGAAGCACCGGCUAACUACGUG
rnacentral:rRNA from 1 species